AUUAGGGAGAUUACUAAGGGAUGGGACCAAUUCCAACCACAGGCUGCACCCACACCCGUGGAGGGGGCUAGAUGGUAAAGGAUGGGGAUCGCCGAGCUGGGCCCAGCAUUCCGAAAAAUUUUUUCAGGAGUUAUCACGCAGGAGGAGUUAUGGCGUCCCGGGUCCACGCAGGAGAAUCUGGGAAGCGAACCCGGGUCCUCCUGCGUGGCACGCCGACAGCGUUAUCACUCGGCUAUUCGGCCACCAAGAGAAUGCUUUAUCACAUGAAUAUUUCAGCUAUAUUUUUUCUUCUAAGUUUUACGUCGUGUGAUAAAGCUGGUUUUUGUU
rnacentral:lncRNA from 1 species